GAUGAACGCUGGCGGCGUGCCUAAUACAUGCAAGUCGAGCGAACGGACGAGAAGCUUGCUUCUCUGAUGUUAGCGGCGGACGGGUGAGUAACACGUGGAUAACCUACCUAUAAGACUGGGAUAACUUCGGGAAACCGGAGCUAAUACCGGAUAAUAUUUUGAACCGCAUGGUUCAAAAGUGAAAGACGGUCUUGCUGUCACUUAUAGAUGGAUCCGCGCUGCAUUAGCUAGGUAAGGUAACGGCUUACCAAGGCAACGAUGCAUAGCCGACCUGAGAGGGUGAUCGGCCACACUGGAACUGAGACACGGUCCAGACUCCUACGGGAGGCAGCAGUUGGGAAUCUUCCGCAAUGGGCGAAAGCCUGACGGAGCAACGCCGCGUGAGUGAUGAAGGUCUUCGGAUCGUAAAACUCUGUUAUUAGGGAAGAACAUAUGUGUAAGUAACUGUGCACAUCUUGACGGUACCUAAUCAGAAAGCCACGGCUAACUACGUG
rnacentral:rRNA from 1 species